UCGUUCUCACUCUUCGUCCUGGGUUUCCUAACCCUGGAGCCCUGGCUCUUCCUCAAGACGGGGGCCACGCUGAAGCCCUGAGCUGCACCCAAUUAGUCAGGUUUUGAUGCCAUGCCAGGCAACAAAUAUUUAUCCAAUGCAUUCUGUUCCAGGCUUCAAGCAAGCAGUGAUAGCGAGCCGGGCAAGGUUCCUGCACACACAGCUUCUAGAAGCCUGGUAGUGCAGAGACACAAUCCAACAAUUCGAAACAGGGCAUAAAGGCGCUGCGGCUUGAUCCACGGUGCUAGUAAGGAGGAAGAACAGGGCAGUGACAAGGUCCUUCUGGACAGGUUGAAAUCCACAUGUCUACUGGACACUAAGCCUUGAGCUACCGUGCUCUGUGCCCCCAAACAGGAGCCUGGGGCAAAGUUCCAGACUGGCCGCCCCCUACACACAGCUGGUGAGAAGAUGCAAAGAUGUGAAGGCCUACAGCACAGAAGCUGCUGGCAGAGAAUGACCGACCCCGCAAAGGACCAGAAAGGCCGCAGACGGAGAGGGAUGUGGCCCAGGUGUGGCGUGCUGCUCAGAGGGCGGCUACUUCUGGGGGGCCACAUGGAGCCUGACCCGUCCUUGUCAUUCUUAAGCCGGUUUUUGGACCCGGUUGCUCUCCUCUGACCACGGCCCAGUCUGUUGGCUGUUAGAGUCCUGCUCAGAUCUGAACUCCACCCACCUGGGUGGGUCCUGCCGGCUUGCAAGGUAGGACGUCACCUCCCUCUUUCUCGAUGCCAUUUUCUGCCAAGCUGCCUCUCCCAUGGCUGCAUUGCCCUCAAUUGUACAACGAACUCUAAUAAAACUGGGAGAGAGCCUGAGAUUC